rnacentral:misc_RNA from 1 species
UGGAGAUGAAUCCACUGUGUUGCAUUGCGCCGGUAUCGAUCGACCGUGAUAAAGGAAAUCCGGCGGUGGUGAAGUCACAAUCCGUGACGCAAAGUCAGUUAGGGUUUGAUAACAAUGUGGGUGUGAAGCCGGUGAGUUUCAGCUUGAGGCAGAGUUUUACAAAUGCACAAGUGAAUACGGAUUCGGAUUUGGGUUUGGUGAAUGAAAAUGAGGAAAAUGGGAAUGAUUCGAAAGAAUUUAAAGGCAGUGUUAGUGUAGCUGGAGUGUUA